rnacentral:rRNA from 1 species
UACAGAGGUCCCGAGCGUUGUUCGGAUUCACUGGGCGUAAAGGGUGCGUAGGUGGUUAGGUAAGUCCGAUGUGAAAUCUCCAGGCUCAACCUGGAAAUGGCAUUGGAUACUAUCUAGCUUGAGGAGUGGAGGGGGGACUGGAAUUCUCGGUGUAGCAGUGAAAUGCGUAGAUAUCGAGAGGAACACCAGUGGCGAAGGCGAGUCCCUGGACACUUCCUGACACUGAGGCACGAAAGCUAGGGGAGCAAACAGG